CAACCCUCAGCCCCCGUCCGCGGGGCGCUGGCGUUGGGGAUCGGCCGUCCUUGCGGCGGCCGGCCCCGAAACACAGUGGCGGUCUCCCGUAGACUCCCCUGCGUAGUAACACUACCUCGCAGAAGGGACGAGCGGGCUGGCCACGCCGUAAAACCCCCCACUUCUCAA
rnacentral:misc_RNA from 1 species